rnacentral:rRNA from 1 species
GGGGCAGCGAAGCCGCGAGGUGGANCCAAUCCCAUAAAACCAUUCUCAGUUCGGAUUGCAGNCUNCAACUCGCCUGCAUGAAGCCGGAAUCGCUAGUAAUCGCGGAUCAGCAUNCCGCGGUGAAUACGUUCCCGGGCCUUGUACACACCGCCCGUCACACCACGAGAGUUUGUAACACCCGAAGUCGGUGGGGUANCCGUAAGGAGCCACCCGCCUAAGGUGGGACAGAUGAUUGGGGUGAAGUCGAACAAGGUAGCC